GUGGAUAUGAUCAAAUGGUAAAAUUUCUCUUUGCCAAGGAGAAGAUGCGGGAUUGAAUACCGCUAUCUGCC
rfam:Capsicum annuum cultivar Zunla-1 chromosome 5, whole genome shotgun sequence